AUACGUAGGGUGCGAGCGUUAAUCGGAAUUACUGGGCGUAAAGCGUGCGCAGGCGGAGAUGUAAGACAGAUGUGAAAUCCCCGGGCUCAACCUGGGACCUGCAUUUGUGACUGUAUAGCUAGAGUACGGUAGAGGGGGAUGGAAUUCCGCGUGUAGCAGUGAAAUGCGUAGAUAUGCGGAGGAACACCGAUGGAGAAGGCGUUUCCCUGGGCCUGCACUGACGCUGAGGCACGAAAGCGUGGUGAGCAAACAGGUUGAGAUACCCUGGUAGUCCACGCCCUAGACGAUGUCGACUGGUUGUUGGGGCUUCAUGGUCUCAGUAACGAAGCUAACGCGUUAAGUGGACCGCCUGGGGAGUACGGCCGCAAGGUUGAAACUCAAAGGAAUUGACGGGG
rnacentral:rRNA from 1 species